UUUAUUCAGUUAGUCAGUCUGGCUCCAUCCCAAAUCACUCAUUACUCCUAAUAGGUGCACUAGACAGAUGUGAAUACAGGACAUGAAUUAAAAAUCGUACAUGCCCUAGGUAGUGUGGAAGAAAUAGUGCGCGUGAUUAGGAACACAGCCGGUUAUUAAAUCCGUUAAAUCAAAGCUAAUUCGGCUAGCUACAACAAUCUCAUUCUUUUUUUUUUUUAACUUGCUCCUGUCAGCUUUGUGACUCGGUUUAAAAAUUUAAGCGACUAAAGAUAGUGAUGCGGGAGAAGUGAACGCGUCGCUCGACGCUGAGAAACUUUCAGACCGAGUCACUGGCACGCAAGUACCGCGUCAACACACGUCAGCGACCCGGGGAGCCAUUAAAACUCCGCCAUCUCCGAGCAGCAGCACAGCCGCCCGGAACCACCGCCAUUACAGCGCCGUCCCGCCUGAGUAGCGCCGCGCGAGCGUGUUAGCUUCAAACGAGACCCAGCGCGCGCACACACACACGCGCGCGCACACCUACCUUUAGCCGCUCCUUUAAUCCGUUGGGGACGUUCCUCAGAUGUCCGUUAUCGAAGUGUGACGUAAAAAAUAAGGCUGUCUUAACGCCCCGCCCACCAGAAUGUUGUGUGACGUCAUUCCCCCGGAAGGGUUCUGAUUGGCUUCACGGCCCUUUACAGUAAUGAAGGGGAAAAGUCGUCGUGAACAAAAAGCUGUUUGUUUUCCUCCAACA